GAUGAACGCUGGCGGCGUGCCUAAUACAUGCAAGUCGAGCGAACGGACGAGAAGCUUGCUUCUCUGAUGUUAGCGGCGGACGGGUGAGUAACACGUGGAUAACCUACCUAUAAGACUGGGAUAACUUCGGGAAACCGGAGCUAAUACCGGAUAAUAUUUUGAACCGCAUGGUUCAAAAGUGAAAGACGGUCUUGCUGUCACUUAUAGAUGGAUCCGCGCUGCAUUAGCUAGUUGGUAAGGUAACGGCUUACCAAGGCAACGAUGCAUAGCCGACCUGAGAGGGUGAUCGGCCACACUGGAACUGAGACACGGUCCAGACUCCUACGGGAGGCAGCAGUAGGGAAUCUUCCGCAAUGGGCGAAAGCCUGACGGAGCAACGCCGCGUGAGUGAUGAAGGUCUUCGGAUCGUAAAACUCUGUUAUUAGGGAAGAACAUAUGUGUAAGUAACUGUGCACAUCUUGACGGUACCUAAUCAGAAAGCCACGGCUAACUACGUGCCAGCAGCCGCGGUAAUACGUAGGUGGCAAGCGUUAUCCGGAAUUAUUGGGCGUAAAGCGCGCGUAGGCGGUUUUUUAAGUCUGAUGUGAAAGCCCACGGCUCAACCGUGGAGGGUCAUUGGAAACUGGAAAACUUGAGUGCAGAAGAGGAAAGUGGAAUUCCAUGUGUAGCGGUGAAAUGCGCAGAGAUAUGGAGGAACACCAGUGGCGAAGGCGACUUUCUGGUCUGUAACUGACGCUGAUGUGCGAAAGCGUGGGGAUCAAACAGGAUUAGAUACCCUGGUAGUCCACGCCGUAAACGAUGAGUGCUAAGUGUUAGGGGGUUUCCGCCCCUUAGUGCUGCAGCUAACGCACUAAGCACUCCGCCUGGGGAGUACGACCGCAAGGUUGAAACUCAAAGGAAUUGACGGGGACCCGCACAAGCGGUGGAGCAUGUGGUUUAAUUCGAAGCAACGCGAAGAACCUUACCAAAUCUUGACAUCCUUUGACAACUCUAGAGAUAGAGCCUUCCCCUUCGGGGGACAAAGUGACAGGUGGUGCAUGGUUGUCGCCAGCUCGUGUCGUGAGAUGUUGGGUUAAGUCCCGCAACGAGCGCAACCCUUAAGCUUAGUUGCCAUCAUUAAGUUGGGCACUCUAAGUUGACUGCCGGUGACAAACCGGAGGAAGGUGGGGAUGACGUCAAAUCAUCAUGCCCCUUAUGAUUUGGGCUACACACGUGCUACAAUGGACAAUACAAAGGGCAGCGAAACCGCGAGGUCAAGCAAAUCCCAUAAAGUUGUUCUCAGUUCGGAUUGUAGUCUGCAACUCGACUACAUGAAGCUGGAAUCGCUAGUAAUCGUAGAUCAGCAUGCUACGGUGAAUACGUUCCCGGGUCU
rnacentral:rRNA from 1 species